rnacentral:rRNA from 1 species
GUAGCGUGAAGGAUGACUGCCCUAUGGGUUGUAAACUUCUUUUAUACGGGAAUAAAGUGAGGCACGUGUGCCUUUUUGUAUGUACCGUAUGAAUAAGGAUCGGCUAACUCCGUGCCAGCAGCCGCGGUAAUACGGAGGAUCCGAGCGUUAUCCGGAUUUAUUGGGUUUAAAGGGAGCGUAGGCGGACGCUUAAGUCAGUUGCGAAAGUUUGCGGCUCAACCGUAAAAUUGCAGUUGAUACUGGGUGUCUUGAGUACAGUAGAGGCAGGCGGAAUUCGUGGUGUAGUGGUGAAAUGCUUAGAUAUCACGAAGAACUCCGAUUGCGAAGGCAGCUUGCUGGACUGUAACUGACGCUGAUGCUCGAAAGUGUGGGUAUCAAACAGGAUUAGAUACCCUGGUAGUCCACACAGUAAACGAUGAAUACUCGUUGUUUGCGAUAUACAGUAAGCGGCCAAGCGAAAGCGUUAAGUAUUCCACCUGGGGAGUACG